GCUGGCGAGACGACAAACUGGCUGCCAUCAGGAACGUUUGGGACGGGUGGUUGGAGCGCCUACCACUGAUGUACAAUCCAGGCUCUGGGGUGACAGUGGACGAGCGCCUGGUCCCUUUCAGAGGUCGCUGUCCAUUCAAACAGUACAUCCCAAGCAAACCAGAAAAUUAAGAAUGUCAUCCUGAUGAGCACUCUACACAAAUACGCCGCUGUCAGCAAAGCAGAGCACAGGAAACCCCAGAUCAUCCUGGACUACAACAGAAAAAAGGCAUUGACUGCCUUGAUAAGCAUACUGGUACAUACACCUGCAAGUGAAUGACAGCUCGUUGGCCUGUGGCAGUGUUCCACAACAUCCUUGAUGUGUCUGCAUGUAAUGCAUAUGUGGUGUGGACAGCGAUUGACCCAGCCUGGAAUCAGGGGAAAUGUUUCAAGAGGAGACUCUUCCUGGCAGAGCUUGGGAAAGCUUUAGUGACUCCUCUAAUUCAACGGCGCCAGCACCUUCCCCGCACACCAGCCUAUGGCAGUCUGGUGAGGAGUCUGCAAGCCCCAGCCACUGCCCUGGCCGCUCUGCGCCCAAAACAGGGGCAGAAACAGAAGAGUUCAUGUUGAUGUUCUGUGAAUUUGGUCUGUUUUGAUUUUUCUGUCCUUUUUUUACAAUAAAUGUUAAUUUUGGAACACAA
ensembl:lncRNA